rnacentral:rRNA from 1 species
UGAGGAAUAUUGGUCAAUGGACGCAAGUCUGAACCAGCCAAGUGGCGUGCAGGAUGACGGCCCUAUGGGUUGUAAACUGCUUUUAUAUGGGGAUAAAGUGGGGAACGUGUUCCCUUUUGCAGGUACCAUAUGAAUAAGGACCGGCUAAUUCCGUGCCAGCAGCCGCGGUAAUACGGAAGGUUCGGGCGUUAUCCGGAUUUAUUGGGUUUAAAGGGAGCGUAGGCCGUUUGGUAAGCGUGUUGUGAAAUGUAGGAGCUCAACUUCUAGAUUGCAGCGCGAACUGUCAGACUUGAGUGCGCACAACGUAGGCGGAAUUCAUGGUGUAGCGGUGAAAUGCUUAGAUAUCAUGAAGAACUCCGAUUGCGAAGGCAGCUUACGGGAGCGCAACUGACGCUGAAGCUCGAAGGUGCGGGUAUCGAACAGG